rnacentral:tRNA from 1 species
CAGUAGCUGAGUGGAUAACGCGAAAGCGUUUGAAGCGAAAGGUACUGGGUUCAAAUCCCAGAGUGAA